rnacentral:rRNA from 1 species
UUCUGGACUGACACUGACGCUGAGGUGCGAAAGCGUGGGUACGCAAACAGGAUUAGAUACCCUGGUAGUCCACGCCGUAAACGAUGUCGACUAGCCGUUGGGCUCCUUGAGAGCUUUGUGGCGCAGUUAACGCGAUAAGUCGACCGCCUGGGGAGUACGGCCGCAAGGUUAAAACUCAAAUGAAUUGACGGGGGCCCGCACAAGCGGUGGAGCAUGUGGUUUAAUUCGAUGCAACGCGAAGAACCUUACCUACCCUUGACAUCGUGCGAACUUGCCAGAGAUGCAUUGGUGCCUUCGGGAACGCACAGACAGGUGCUGCAUGGCUGUCGUCAGCUCGUGUUGUGAAAUGUUGGGUUAAGUCCCGUAACGAGCGCAACCCUUGUCCUUAUUUGCCAGCGAGUCAUGUCGGGAACUCUAAGGAGACUGCCGGUGACAAACCGGAGGAAGGUGGGGACGACGUCAAGUCAUCAUGGCCCUUACGGGUAGGGCUACACACGUGCUACAAUGGCCGGUACAAAGGGUUGCGAAGCCGCGAGGUGGAGCUAAUCCCGAAAAGCUGGUCUCAGUCCGGAUCGGAGUCUGCAACUCGA